rnacentral:misc_RNA from 1 species
CUCUAUUUUUGUUUAAAAAUAUAGCUAACAUUCAUAGUACACUAGCGAGUAGUUACAAUGACAGAAUCAUCCUUUGAUCUUUAAUAAAAUGCUUGAAAGGAAAAAUGAUUACAUUGCAUUAGCACUUUUGUAGCAAUAACAAAACCCCCAAAUUAAAUCCAAGAGAUCAACACAAGUUCAUCAAAAUAAUUGCAUCCUGUGAAUCAUACAAGGGGGUUAAAAAAAUCACAAUAAUUUAAGAAAAACAAGAAAUUCAAAAUUUCUAACUUCUGUGGCCUAAAUCCAAAUUGAAAUGCUCAGGUUUAUCAUGCAAAAACUACAAUUUAGAACAUGCUCAAACACAAUGAGAUCCCAGCUAAUGAUAAACCUUUCACGUGAUUCAUACUAAGACCGAUGAUUAGCAAUAGCAUCGCCUUUUCAAAGCUGUAGCGCCCUAGGAUCAAGUGGGAUACUACCAACUCUUAGAAUACCAGAAGAUUCAGCAAAUCCAUUAACUUUGACAGACAUUGAUCCUACUGUGACAACACCAACAGGAUCAGAACUAGAAACACAAGUUGCGACAUCUGAGGAGGGUUUAGGCUCAUCGUGCUUGGGUUUAAUACUAAGAGAACCAAUCUUUAAAACAGAUGCAAUAUCACUUCCCGAUUUUACUAUUGUUUGCCCAGAAAUUUCACUCUCAACACUGGUAUCAGCAGCAUCAGAAUUUGAAGAAACCUGUUCAGUGCUAGGGGCCUCAGUUUUCUUCAUGCAGUUAGUACUAUUCUGCUCCAUAGUUUUCUCAUCUUUCUUUGGAGCUAACUCAACAAGACAAUCCAACUUGUGAGCAGGAUCUGAUGCAGGUACUAAGAAUGCAGUUUCAAAGCUUUUAAAUAUAAGCCUAGCUUUCUCUUCCUGCAUAAUUCUCUGACG